UGCUGUUUGAAUCUAGUGGUUAGGAUUCCUGGCUUUCACCCAGGCUGCCUGGGUUCGAUUCCCUGCAUGGUAA